rnacentral:rRNA from 1 species
GAGUUUGAUCGUGGCUCAGAGCGAACGCUGGCGGCAGGCCUAACACAUGCAAGUCGAACGGAUCCUUCGGGAUUAGUGGCGGACGGGUGAGUAACACGUGGGAACGUGCCUUUUGGUUCGGAACAACUCAGGGAAACUUGAGCUAAUACCGGAUGUGCCCUUCGGGGGAAAGAUUUAUCGCCAUUAGAGCGGCCCGCGUCUGAUUAGCUAGUUGGUGAGGUAAAGGCUCACCAAGGCGACGAUCAGUAGCUGGUCUGAGAGGAUGAUCAGCCACACUGGGACUGAGACACGGCCCAGACUCCUACGGGAGGCAGCAGGUGGGGAAUCUUGCGCAAGUGGGACGAAAGCCUGACGCAGCCAUGCCGCGUGAAUGAUGAAGGUCUUAGGAUUAG